rnacentral:rRNA from 1 species
AUUGAACGCUGGCGGCAGGCCUAACACAUGCAAGUCGAGCGGAUGAGGGGAGCUUGCUCCUGGAUUCAGCGGCGGACGGGUGAGUAAUGCCUAGGAAUCUGCCUGGUAGUGGGGGAUAACGUCCGGAAACGGGCGCUAAUACCGCAUACGUCCUGAGGGAGAAAGUGGGGGAUCUUCGGACCUCACGCUAUCAGAUGAGCCUAGGUCGGAUUAGCUAGUUGGUGGGGUAAAGGCCUACCAAGGCGACGAUCCGUACUGGUCUGAGAGGAUGAUCAGUCACACUGGAACUGAGACACGGUCCAGACUCCUACGGGAGGCAGCAGUGGGGAAUAUUGGACAAUGGGCGAAAGCCUGAUCCAGCCAUGCCGCGUGUGUGAAGAAGGUCUUCGGAUUGUAAAGCACUUUAAGUUGGGAGGAAGGGCAGUAAGUUAAUACCUUGCUGUUUUGACGUUACCAACAGAAUAAGCACCGGCUAACUUCGUG